GACGAACGCUGGCGGCGUGCCUAAUACAUGCAAGUGGGACGCAAGGGAACACACUGUGCUUGCACACCGUGUUUUCUUGAGUCGCGAACGGGUGAGUAACGCGUAGGUAACCUGCCUAUUAGCGGGGGAUAACUAUUGGAAACGAUAGCUAAUACCGCAUAAUAUUAAUUAUUGCAUGAUAAUUGAUUGAAAGAUGCAAGCGCAUCACUAGUAGAUGGACCUGCGUUGUAUUAGCUAGUUGGUAAGGUAAGAGCUUACCAAGGCGACGAUACAUAGCCGACCUGAGAGGGUGAUCGGCCACACUGGGACUGAGACACGGCCCAGACUCCUACGGGAGGCAGCAGUAGGGAAUCUUCGGCAAUGGACGAAAGUCUGACCGAGCAACGCCGCGUGAGUGAAGAAGGUUUUCGGAUCGUAAAGCUCUGUUGUAAGUCAAGAACGUGUGUGAGAGUGGAAAGUUCACACAGAGACGGAGCUACCAGAAAGGAC
rnacentral:rRNA from 1 species